GAUGAACGCUGGCGGCGUGCCUAAUACAUGCAAGUCGAACGCACAGCGAAAGGUGCUUGCACCUUUCAAGUGAGUGGCGAACGGGUGAGUAACACGUGGACAACCUGCCUCAAGGCUGGGGAUAACAUUUGGAAACAGAUGCUAAUACCGAAUAAAACUUAGUGUCGCAUGACACAAAGUUAAAAGGCGCUUCGGCGUCACCUAGAGAUGGAUCCGCGGUGCAUUAGUUAGUUGGUGGGGUAAAGGCCUACCAAGACAAUGAUGCAUAGCCGAGUUGAGAGACUGAUCGGCCACAUUGGGACUGAGACACGGCCCAAACUCCUACGGGAGGCUGCAGUAGGGAAUCUUCCACAAUGGGCGAAAGCCUGAUGGAGCAACGCCGCGUGUGUGAUGAAGGCUUUCGGGUCGUAAAGCACUGUUGUAUAGGAAGAACAGCUAGAAUAGGAAAUGAUUUUAGUUUGACGGUACCAUACCAGAAAGGGACGGCUAAAUACGUG
rnacentral:rRNA from 1 species